UUCAUCGCGUGAAAAAGCCAGUUUCGUGUCUGGUGUAGAAUGGAGAAGGUUGUGUCGCUUAUUGCUCUUCUUUUAGUGUGCAGUCCUGUGGUGCAGAUGUUAUCAACGCGAAUAAACGCAGAUCACGUUUGUCCUCCAAGAAAGAUUUUCGACGAACAGCUCAACAGAUGUGUGGCUUCAUCAUCAGAUGAGGUCAACGUUACAGUCUCAAGCAACAGUGAGGACCAAGUUAACUUGUUUUUAACAAAAGUACCAGAGCGGAAAUGCUCAGAGGGACAAAUUUUCUCGAAAAGAUUGAUGAAGUGCAUCAAUGUGAUUGGCUGAUAGGACGAUUGGUGCCAGCCCUGCAAUCAGACGGCGCGACCCAUCCCCACCUCCAGCUGCCCCUCGCGUUCAAGCAGUUAAUGGAUGUCAUUUUUUAAAAUUUUGUUUGUUUAUUUGUUUUAAUAAUCUUGCCUGUAAUAUCUUUAUCAUGAGAGCAAUAAAAUUUUUACGGUGGA